GGCAUGCUGUCCAUUUGCUGUGGUUGCAGGGGGCAGGCUUUGGCAGACCCACCUCUCUAUCAUCCAGUGGUGGGACACUGCAACCUUAAAGCCAAGUCUCUGCUGUUGGUCCGUAGUAGGCGUCCUGGAAUCACCGUUGGAGGAUACAGACACCAAAGCGAUUACACGAGAGUGCAGCGGAUUGACACUGACUUUGGAGGAGGCCGUUUUCUGUCUCCUGCCAGGUGACCUCCCCUUGUCGCUCUGCAGCCCACGUUCUCUUGUGGCCCCGAUGUUCUUUCCAUCGCCGCCUCGUUGACCUUUUCAGUAUUCUGCGUGUCGAUUGGUUUAAGCCGUUGCUGCCCUUUCCUCCCACAGCUGGCUACAGGGAGAUGGGCGUCGUGGCCCGGCAACACAAAAACGGUGGCUAUCAGGGAGAUGGGGGUGGCAUGUAAAAAGUCAGCAUUGUGCGGUUCUCGCUGCAGUGAGUCACCGAAUAUGCCAAGCCCGGCCAUUCUGCUCCCUUCAGCGGGGAGGAAAGAGGUUGUCAAAGCUGCAGGAUAAAUCCGGAAUGACAAUGAAAACAGCAGUUAGGGAAAGGCUUCAACUGGCUGCCUUAAGAUGCUGAAGUAGCCAAGCCCAGAGACCUGAGCAACCAGAAGACACCAGACCGGUGGCAGAGAGUCAACGCAGGGAUUUGUGACCAGCCACUGAGGCCUUCGGUAACCCAUCAAACAAGUAACCU